AUUGAACGCUGGCGGCAUGCCUUACACAUGCAAGUCGAACGGCAGCGGGCCCUUCGGGGUGCCGGCGAGUGGCGAACGGGUGAGUAAUGCAUCGGAACGUACCCGGGAGAGGGGGAUAACCGGCCGAAAGGCUGGCUAAUACCGCAUGAACUCGGAAGAGCAAAGCGGGGGACCUUCGGGCCUCGCGCUCUCGGAGCGGCCGAUGUCCGAUUAGGCUAGUUGGUGGGGUAAAGGCCCACCAAGGCGACGAUCGGUAGCGGGUCUGAGAGGACGGUCCGCCACACUGGGAGUGGGACACGGCCCAGACUCCUGCGGGAGGCAGCAGUGGGGAAUCUUGGACAGUGGGCGCAAGCCUGAUCCAGCAAUGCCGCGUGGGUGAAGAAGGCCUUCGGGUUGUAAAGCCCUUUCGGCGGGGAAGAAAUCGGUCAGGCGAAUAGUCUGGCCGGAUGACGGUACCCGCAGAAGAAGCACCGGCUAACUACGUG
rnacentral:rRNA from 1 species